rnacentral:rRNA from 1 species
GAUGAACGCUGGCGGCGUGCCUAAUACAUGCAAGUCGAGCGAACAGACGAGGAGCUUGCUCCUCUGACGUUAGCGGAGGACGGGUGAGUAACACGUGGAUAACCUACCUAUAAGACUGGGAUAACUUCGGGAAACCGGAGCUAAUACCGGAUAAUAUAUUGAACCGCAUGGUUCAAUAGUGAAAGACGGUUUUGCUGUCACUUAUAGAUGGAUCCGCGCCGCAUUAGCUAGUUGGUAAGGUAACGGCUUACCAAGGCAACGAUGCGUAGCCGACCUGAGAGGGUGAUCGGCCACACUGGAACUGAGACACGGUCCAGACUCCUACGGGAGGCAGCAGUAGGGAAUCUUCCGCAAUGGGCGAAAGCUUGACGGAGCAACGCCGCGUGAGUGAUGAAGGUCUUCGGAUCGUAAAACUCUGUUAUUAGGGAAGAACAAAUGUGUAAGUAACUAUGCACGUCUUGACGGUACCUAAUCAGAAAGCCACGGCUAACUACGUG